ACAAACAAAAUUUCAAAUUUAAUAUUCGUUAUUUUAAUAUUUUUUUCAGGUAGUUUUCGAUGUUGCCAAUCAUACAACAGUUACAUCUGCGAAUCAUCUGCAUUACAAAAAAAAUGCAUUGGCAAAAAUUUACAACUGCCCUAAUACAAAAUAAAAACUAAAACCACAAGUGCGGCAACGCCAAGCAAACAGCUGCAGUCAUUAUUUUGUUUACAAUCUUCCAAUUGUGAUGAACUAUGAGCGUAAAAAUUUUCCUGCCCGCUUUUCUAUUUCACACGAAAAAAGACUGUGAUAUAUAUGGAGAAAUACAAAUCAAUGAAAACAAUGCAAUUUCCUAUUAUAUUAUUGCGCAUCAAGAUUAUCAGAGUUCGAGUCAAAGCAAUUUACGCCACUUGGGACACAUAGUUCGUGCCGGACCAACAUCAGCCUUACAACAUCGAGAUGUUGCGGUGACCUUUGCCUACGACGGUGACACGCCAAACAUUUAUUUGCUUAAGUUGAGCAUAAAACCGUCUAAUACUACACAAGUGAAUGUCUUCCUUUAUGAUGUGCCAAAAAUGUUGCAGUUGUACGAAUAUAGCGUCAGUUAUGAGACGAAUAAAAGUGACACAAUAGCUGCCGAGAGAAAUGGCGAGGAAGAGACUGACCAAUGCAACGAUGUUGUAUUGUUGUGCCGUCUGUUAAAUGAAAAUCACAAGCAAAAUAAAGUGCAUAAAGUCACGAUAUUUAGUAUUCUACAAAAGUUACUAUUUUUACUGCCUAAUUUAAUAACAUAUUUAUUAAUUAUAUUGCUGGAGUAUAAGCCAGUUAAAACACUUAUGCAAAAGACAUCAAUUUACGGACACUUUUUGGAGUGGCGUAGAUUGGACGCAACUGGAAAACGGAAACUGAACAUAACAGUGGAUAAAAUUCUCGGUGUAAGUGUAAUGAUUUUCUUACUCUUUUACGUUUCCCAAUCCGGCGAUUACUUGCUAGCAACAUCACACUGGGUUAUACAGAAACUGCGCUUGUUGCUGCGUUCACUUAAAGGCAGCCCUAUUGGCCUGAAGCUGAAUGAACAUCUUAACAAUUUUCUGCUCGAUUGUUUUAAUUAUCACAUCGAUUUGUGGGCGAAGUUUUUAGAUCUGAUCGAGCCCAUCGUGCGUCAACUUUUCGUGCCAAUUGCCAUGCUUGGUUUCAUAGGAAUAUCCUUUCAAUUAGCAUCUUUGCCAAUGUUGAUGUCCAUAAUCGGUUUGCAUGCGCAUUGCUUCUAUAUUUACACAGCAGUAUUGUACAAGGUGGAGAUUAGAGGUAUUCAAGUACUUUGGAAGGUGAUGCUGGGCAAACGUUACAAUGUGCUUAAAAAUCGCGUGGAGUCACAUAAUUAUGUUAACCGACAGUUGUAUCUAGCGACUAUAUUCUUUACUUCGCUGCUCUUUUUGUUUCCAACGGUGUUGGUUUAUUACGUGGUUUUCACAACGUUGCGACUUUGUAUCUACAUGGUGAAUUUGGUUGUCGAAGUAUUGCGGCGUAAAAUUUUAGAAUUUCCUCUGUUAAGUCUGCUAAAAUGGACAAUUGGUAAAUUUUGCGAUAUGGAAAGUAUACACAUCGCUCAUAUGCCGCAUUCGCCGUCACCAUUGUUGCAACCACAGAAUAUGCAAAUUAGUAUGUCCGUUUUCAAAUUGAGCAUACAAAAAUCGCCAUUAAGUCGAGUAUUUUCAUGUGAAAGUGGAAUCCUGCAAGAAUUUAAAUCGGAUGAGAAGAUGUCAAUUAAAAAUGCAUUUACGCGCAUGCUUAAAGGAACAUUUUAACACUUAAAAUUACGACCCUGCAAAAUCUAUUACUUAUUUGUUAGCUAUUACAUCUGUCAACUGUCACACGUUGCUAUUGCGAUUGAGCGAGUGAAACAGCGAUAGUGCACUAACAAAUCCUAUUUUACUUCAUAUUUCUAUCAGCUCGUCUGUGGAAGAUUUUUGUACAAAUCUCUAAAUUCGUGCGAAAUGUCGGGAUAUAUUGCCAGGAAAGGUCCCUUAGUCUUUUCAAACUUGGGCAAAUGGGCCUAUAACUUGUCUGGAUUCAAUCAAUAUGG